rnacentral:rRNA from 1 species
AUGGUCUCCGCGGCGUCGGAGAUGGCAGACGCUUCGGCCGCGGCGGGCCCGUCCUCGUCGUCCGAGGCGUCGCCGCCGUUGAAGCAGUUGCAGCAGCGCGCGGUCGGGGCCCGCUCGCCGACGGUGCCGCCGCCGUCCUCCAGGAAGCUGCGGACCAUGCCGUCCAGGCACACCGAGCUGGGCUCCAAGUCAUCCUUCUCCUUGUCCUUCUCCCCGCCGGCGGAGACGGGCGGGAGCCGCUCCGCCGGCGAGACCCGCAGGACCUGGCGCUCGAACAGGCGCUUGAGCCGCGACUUGGCCAGCGCGGCGGGGGACGGGGACGGGGACGGAUCGAUCUGCGCCGCGGCGGCCCUCAUGGCGGCGGAAGCGAGCGGGCGGGGUGGGCGCGACUAG